CUCUGGUAUUGAUUGGUGCUUGCAUCAUGAUUUACAUUUGAGUGAGUGGCGAACUGGUGAGUAACACGUGGGAAACCUGCCCAGAAGCGGGGGAUAACACCUGGAAACAGAUGCUAAUACCGCAUAACAACUUGGACCGCAUGGUCCGAGUUUGAAAGAUGGCUUCGGCUAUCACUUUUGGAUGGUCCCGCGGCGUAUUAGCUAGAUGGUGGGGUAACGGCUCACCAUGGCAAUGAUACGUAGCCGACCUGAGAGGGUAAUCGGCCACAUUGGGACUGAGACACGGCCCAAACUCCUACGGGAGGCAGCAGUAGGGAAUCUUCCACAAUGGACGAAAGUCUGAUGGAGCAACGCCGCGUGAGUGAAGAAGGGUUUCGGCUCGUAAAACUCUGUUGUUAAAGAAGAACAUAUCUGAGAGUAACUGUUCAGGUAUUGACGGUAUUUAACCAGAAAGCCACGGCUAACUACGUGCCAGCAGCCGCGGUAAUACGUAGGUGGCAAGCGUUGUCCGGAUUUAUUGGGCGUAAAGCGAGCGCAGGCGGUUUUUUAAGUCUGAUGUGAAAGCCUUCGGCUCAACCGAAGAAGUGCAUCGGAAACUGGGAAACUUGAGUGCAGAAGAGGACAGUGGAACUCCAUGUGUAGCGGUGAAAUGCGUAGAUAUAUGGAAGAACACCAGUGGCGAAGGCGGCUGUCUGGUCUGUAACUGACGCUGAGGCUCGAAAGUAUGGGUAGCAAACAGGAUUAGAUACCCUGGUAGUCCAUACCGUAAACGAUGAAUGCUAAGUGUUGGAG
rnacentral:rRNA from 2 species